rnacentral:rRNA from 1 species
AUUGAACUGAAGAGUUUGAUCAUGGCUCAGAUUGAACGCUGGCGGCAGGCCUAACACAUGCAAGUCGAGCGGAUGAAGGGAGCUUGCUCCUGGAUUCAGCGGCGGACGGGUGAGUAAUGCCUAGGAAUCUGCCUGA